rnacentral:rRNA from 1 species
AUACGGAGGGGGCAAGCGUUAUUCGGAAUUAUUGGGCGUAAAGGGCGCGUAGGCGGCCCGACAAGUCAACGGUGAAAUCCCUCGGCCUAACCGAGGAACUGCCUUUGAAACUGUCAGGCUUGAGGCCGGGAGAGGGUAGUGGAAUUCCCAGUGUAGCGGUGAAAUGCGUAGAUAUUGGGAGGAACACCAGUGGCGAAGGCGACUACCUGGACCGGUUCUGACGCUGAGGCGCGAAAGCGUGGGGAGCAAACAGGAUUAGAAACCCUGGUAGUCC